rnacentral:misc_RNA from 1 species
GAGCUAUGGAAAACGAGGUCUAUGUUUUGUUGCAGCGAACCUCAGCCAUAAAUUGAGUAUUCCCCAUGAAAACCAGGAACGACCGUUCCAGGCAGAGCUUGCAGACGUUUGUUGUUUCGACGGUAGGUUUACCACGACGCGCAUAAAAGUAUUCCGCUCAGGUGCGGGCCACAAACACAGCCUCGAGCACAGUGCUCCUGCGAGCCGCGAGCGCCUUGAUAACGUGUUGAGUAACGGGAGCAACGCGAACACAGCGGCGAUGUGAACAGAACGUGCAGUCCUGCGGCCUGUCGCGCGCGAGAUAGCGCUGUAAGAGUCGCGGUGUCGGGCUUUUUCGCGGACGCUCGCGUGAGGCCGAGUCUCGUGCAGCGCCCAGCGACAGACCACGUGCACUCGUGCACUCGACUGCGCGCUGCUGCCUGCAUGUGCAGCACCAGCUCGGAUACCAGCGUCAAUGCCAGAGCUAUCGAAACGCCAGGCUAGGAUGGGCCAGUGAAGCGCUCGCUCUGUGCCUGCCUUUUGAACAUUUCCCCGACUUUUCCUCGAUACACGGCCUCGACAUUCAAUGUGCGGCUCUAACUGCUACUCGACUCAAUGUUAGAGUUAGAAUCCUCGGUCGUGUGUUCAGGGCGGCUCGUUUGACUCCUUUCUCCUGGCAUUCGUGGCGCCAACGGAAUCAAGAUGACUCGGGGCGCCGUCGAACACGCGUUGGUGGCAUAUCCGAAAAUAUGGUUUUCCGGUUCGAGCGCCCAAGCGUCCACGCUUGUCCUUGCCUAAAAUGUAGCCUGCCCGGAUCACGCAUGCUUCGCGUACUCAAUGGACCUGCUUGGAGGCCACCCGUGGGCACUGCAAUUUGUGCAGAUGGAUUUGCGAGGCGGACAACUCGACGUCGUGCCCUGGCGACAUGCUCGCAGGCUCAUGCCGGGCGUUCACUUUACUUGACACGCCGAAUGGUGGAUUCGGUUCGAGAGACCGAUCGUGCGCUGCUUGCGGCCGUCGACGACUCGGCAUUCGACAGCAGCAUGGUACCACUCAGGGCUGGUACGCUCGCAGAUGUUCCUGUCUCCCCUGUUCGGACUGCAACGAGACAUGCACCGGGCCUCGAGGCACCGCAUGGAUCGCUCUCAGCAGAGCGUGCGUCACUGCUGAGCACGAAGCGAGUGCAGAGGGGUCGACACUUCUGGAUCGACAGUUCUUGAUCGAGCUCGUCUGUACUGAUAUCCCAGAACUUGCAUCGUCAUCGACAACAUUGCGUUCCGCAAAUGCUUUGUCGAACGGAGCAACGAACGCAUUCGUAUGCAGCGGUUAGCGUACUCGCCGAGUGAUCGCCAAGAAGAAGCGGAUCAUCAUCGCAGGGUCCGGCAUCUGAAGCUGAGCCCGAGGGGGGCAUUGACGGGUGUCGUCUGUAGCCAUAGAAGGCAUGCACUGAGCGACGGAGCUGGUGUCCUCGUCCCCCAGAGCAGCCCACGGAGGGGCAGGCGCAGUGGACACACAGGAAUCGCGGAUCACGGUGAUGGGUCCGCGCUGCAAAGCGCUUACCUGGGCUGUUUAUAGAAGAGGUGCACGAAUCGAGUGCGGCAUGGACCCGAACUGCUGCCUGAUGAUGAAAUGCGUUCGCGAGAGCGGGAAGCAGUAGAAUCGGGGCUUGCGCGUUGCUAUCAGCAGACCUCGACUGCUGAGACUGAACCAUGAGGCACCGGAGAGACCUGCUCAUUUCAGGCGGGGGAUGAGAUAGAGAGCGAUGAAAAGGUAUCGGUUGCUGGAAAGCCCGGAGAGACUUGUAAUGAUGACAGUGGGAACUGACCGAUUGUUUAUGGUGCACACCUGCUUUAGCGAAGUGGGACGCGUUCCACUUGAGUCUGACAUGGGUAUAGCUGCAAACCCAUGAACGAUUCAAGCUUUUGCCCGAUCGACGCACAAAUGCCAGUAUUUUAGACCUCAUCGGUCAAGUGGCUUGCCUUACCUGUGGGGAGAUACCCAGGGGAACGCGACGCGGAUACACUCGCAGGUGCUCAGACAGCCGGUAUUCUAGCGUCAAUUCGAGUUCCCGGAAUCGCUACGAGCUUUGGGGGUUGUAAUUUUCUUCCAGCGUCGCUUAUGACUGUUCGAUUUGUACCAUCUCCAGGCAUCGCUGCGGAGGGAGCAUAAAAUGCAGCCAAACGAGUUGCAAGAUGUGCGAAACUGGCGGGCUUCGUUCCUGGCGUUGGCGCCUGAUGGUGCUAACGCACUCCCGUCAGAGAUGCCCGAGCAUAUUCUUAAUUUUGUCUUUUUCGGCUCUAUUCGCCGCUCAAAACUGGAUCGCGCGUUUGGAGGAAGUCACCGCAUCGGUUGUACCAUUGCCAUGAAGGUUGCGACAGCGGUUUAGGGAGCACUUUCCACGGCUCGUGGCGGUGCAGUUGCUACCCAAGCUCCCGGGACUGUUUCAUUGAAAACUGUUAUCUGCGCUGAAGGCGCUGUUGCUUUGAAAUGGGAGGACUUCCGCUGCAGUUACAGCCGCUUCGGUUUUGGUGUACAACGAAGACGUAGGCAAAACCACCUCGCUGAAACUUGCUGUGGCAGCGAACCCUGCGAGCUAAGCAUAAACGAAAGCU